GACGAACGCUGGCGGCGUGCUUAACACAUGCAAGUCGAACGGAGCGAAUGAAAGCUUGCUUUUAUAAGCUUAGUGGCAAACGGGUGAGUAACACGUAGGCAACCUGCCGACAGGAUGGGGACAACAUUCCGAAAGGAAUGCUAAUACCGAAUGAAGUCGAGGGAGGGCAUCCUCCUCCGAUGAAAGAUGGCCUCUAUAUAUAAGCUAUCACCUGUCGAUGGGCCUGCGUCUGAUUAGCUGGUAGGUGAGGUAACGGCUCACCUAGGCGACGAUCAGUAGCCGGUCUGAGAGGAUGAACGGCCACAUUGGGACUGAGACACGGCCCAGACUCCUACGGGAGGCAGCAGUGGGGAAUCUUCCGCAAUGGGCGCAAGCCUGACGGAGCAAACGCCGCGUGAGUGAAGAAGGUUCUUCGGAUCGUAAAGCUCUGUUGAUGGGGACG
rnacentral:rRNA from 1 species